ACAGGCAGGGCAGUGGGUGGGUUCUGAGCCCUUCCCAGAUGGGCAGUGGUGGUCCUGCCCUCUCAGCUGGGUGGGCAACUCCUCCAGCCUCUCAGGGCCUGAACCAAGUGGGUAUAGUGCUAGGAGCUCAGGACACCGUGGUCAGUUUCUUCCAUGCUUCCUGCUGACAAACCCAUCCCCCAGGGCCUGAGAUGUCCUAACUGUUCCACCAUGCCCUAACAGCAUCACUUCUUGGGGCCCCUGCAAGCUGCUCACACCACCAAGGUAGCCAGGGCUCUAGGCCUUCCACUGAGCACAUCCCAAGCCUUGCCUGCAGGGUUGAGCAUGUCCCCUCAGAGCCAGGGCACCACCUUGGGGUCACACAGUCUAACAUUACCUUCUAGACAAAGAAAGUUACACAUGUCUUUCAGAUCCCAAUGGUACAUCCCAGGGACCUGCUGCUGCUAAGGAGCCACCUGACCAGAGUGUCACAUCAGUGAGUCCACAUGCCACAGUGACCCUCCCAAGUCCAAUGCUGUCACAGAAGAAGGGGACAUAGAGACAAAAGUACAAAUGGAAAGGCUGGCUGGAGCAAGGCAGGAUGGACACCAGCUGAGGAAAACAUCCUCAUGCUUCUUGCAGCUACCCUGAGCCCUAACUGCACAACCCAGAUGAGUGUGUACCUGCCACUGAAAACCCCCACACCUGGCUCUGUCACUGGGCCUGUAGAGGAUACAUCACUUGUCAGGUGACAGUUUUUCUUGAAACUGACUUCUCCGAAUAUAAAAAUUAUAUGAAAUACUGUAGAAAAUAGGAUGAAGAGAAAAAAGAUUGAUCUCAGCAUUUCCGCCCGCAGGAGCAGAGCCUUAGUGUCCUUGCCUAUCCUGCAUGUGCGUCAACCUCGAGGCUGCAUGACCUGAGAGCUGUGGCUGCAAGUCGCGCCCGGUCACCAAAAGCACCAGGGGCCAGUGCAUACGAGCAGUCAGACCCAUCGGCAGCUCCUGCUUCAUGUACAUGGGCAGGAAGGCAGGCUCUGUUCAGGUGACACCAAGGAAGCACCAGGGGUCACCUCAGGGAAGGACAUUCCAAGAAGUAAGGUGAGCUGUGUUCUGGGGGGCAGCAGCAGGGUCCAGACUGCCAGGCAGCUAGGCAGCAGUGAAUGGCCUUCUCUAGUGUGGGAGGUUACCACCGGGACAGUCCUAACAAUACCCAUAACCCGCAUCAGGCUUCUGUGUAGCCCUCCUGGAGUAACCAAGAAGAAAACUCUGGAGGUGAGAGUGUGUAGCCAGUGCUGUGGCAAUGAUUCCCUUUCUCAAGAUAGCUGGCUCCAGGGGAGAUGCGGGCUAUCAGGUAGGAAGGCUUGUGAGGAACUGAGGCCUCUAGCCAACAGCCAACACCCCUGCCAUCUGAGCUGUUUAAACACCGAGUUCUAGGUAAGCAUCAAGAGAAGACCAAAUCACCAUGAGGACACAGGUGGAAGACGAGUGGGGAGGGCUGAGCAGAGCCUGGACAUCUGGCAGGUACGAGGGAGGGGAGGCCAGACUCCGCAGUGAGAAAGAGUGGAGACCAUUUGCUCAGGGUUCACCUAGGAAUCGGCAGAGGAGAAUCAAGGAGUCAAAGACUUUAGCCCUGUCAGCUGCCAUGCCUCGAGGAGACAUCUGAGAGAAACUGAACACCCAGGAUUAAAUAUGGGCUGCCAUCAGCGGCACAUGUGGACAGGUGGCUGUGCAGGGCUCAGAAGCAGCCUUGGGGUGGCAGGCUUACAGCUGUGUCCCUGUGUCACACUGUUACAUCAAUUGGCAAUUUCUCAUCCGGAUGCCUUUCUGUAACUCAAGAGAACUUUCUCUGUGUCCUAGGAUAGUUUCUAUCUCAGCAAUUCCGGGUUGCUUGGAUAGUAGAAGAGUUAAAAGAGAGGAAAUGUGGGUGCUGAAAUAAAUAUGGAUGAGAAAAGAAA